AAAACAUUUAUUAUUAAUAGAAGUCCAAGUACAUACACUUUCAACAAGAGACAAAAAAUGCAUAAAUCUACAACUCAAUUCCAUUGUUCACUGAAAUUAAAGCAAAGGCUGGAGAUAAAAUGAAAAUCUCGCAGCAGCUAAGACACAAACAGAACUCUUCCACACAGGUAACUAAGAGAAGUUUUGGGCAUAUAAACCUGGGACAAAGAGCAGAAUUUUGAACAGCAUAGGAGAAAAAACUCUUAUUAUAACAUUAAAAAUUAAAAUGACAUACACGGGAGCAGUUUAACUUAUUAUCACUACGAGUUCAGAAUUCCAUGUAAAUUUACAGAAUUCUGGACUACCAUCAGCAAAAGAAAAGAUGAAAUCGAUAUGAAGGUCCUAACAAGGAUAUUCCGUAAAAUUACACAAUCUACAAGAAUAUGGCAAUUUCACAAAAAUUGGAAAUUGAUAGUAAAUUAAGAUACCAAAAAAUAAUCAGCGAAACUUUUAUUUGCUACUAAGAAGGAAAGUUUACAACCUAUAAUUGCACUAUAAUUAAAGGGAAAUAAUUGCUUAGAUUUCCCAUUUCUUGAAUUCCUGUAAUCAAUUUCUCAAAAUCAAGACAUGUAUCACA
rnacentral:misc_RNA from 1 species